rnacentral:rRNA from 1 species
AUACAGAGGGUGCGAGCGUUAAUCGGAAUUACUGGGCGUAAAGCGCGCGUAGGCGGCUUAUUAAGUCAGAUGUGAAAUCCCCGGGCUCAACCUGGGAACUGCAUCUGAUACUGGUAAGCUAGAGUUUUGGAGAGGGAAGUAGAAUUUCAGGUGUAGCGGUGAAAUGCAUAGAGAUCUGAAGGAAUACCAGUGGCGAAGGCGACUUCCUGGCCAAAAACUGACGCCGAGGUGCGAAAGCGUGGGUAGCAAACGGGAUUAGAUACCCCAGUAGUCC